rnacentral:lncRNA from 1 species
AAAAAAAAAGGUGGAAAAUAAAAGAAGAGAACAGGAAGAAGGCCAAAGGCCCAUAUCUUCAACUAAACCCAACCCAGCAACAUUCAAACCGCUGUCUUUUUGAGUUUAUAAACCAAACACCAAAACGAUGUUGUUUGAGAGAAAAAAAAAAAGAUUUGUAGAACAGCAAAAGAGAAGCCAAAAAAGGAAGAGGCGUACAAUACAGAUCUGGAGCCUUUAGGAAGAUGAAUGGGGGGGAUUCUAGGUUUUUUCGCCUACAAAUGAACAUAUUUGGUGGAAGGAUGAAGGAGGCAGAAAGAUGAGAAUGUCGACAAAAAGUAGAAUAAAGAUAUGUAGCAGAGGAGAAUCGUAGAGACAAAGAGACGUGAGCAAAGGAUACCCAGUGCGAGUUGGGCAAAAGGCUUGAUCAUAAGCAAAUUAGAGCGGAGAUCUAAAACGACAAAUUGGUGGAGCGAGCUUGCAACACCGAAUCGUAGAAGCAGUCAAGCUGAAGCAGGAAGGCAAAGAGCUUAGAGAGAGAAAUUGAGAAAAAUAUUCAAGUAAUUUAAUUCUUUUUUAAGUUUUUAAUUUGCACUAUUUUUGGAUAAAAGUUUCAGAAUUUUUUUAUAAGACUUGAAUGCUAUUAUUUAGAAUUUAUUGGAAAUUAAUUUUUUAUCAUUAUAUGAUUAUAAUUUUCUGAGUUAUAAUUAUUAUUGCUCAGUACAUCAUGUCUGACUAAAUAUUUUUUACCAGCGUGAUUGAUGUCGUCUGAAUCAAAGGUAAUUUGUUAUUUAAUUUUUAACUUUUUCCUAAUUGUAAUUUUAUAGUAUUUAAUUUAAUUCAAUUAUGAGAAUUGACUAAUUCAUAAUUUUAUUUGUGAUUGAUGAUUUUAGAGUAACGAGAGUAAAAUUCUAUUUAUUAAAUAUUAAUAGAAAUUUGAAUAGGAAUAAUAUAGUUAAACUAACGUGGAUUAAUCGAAUUAUCACAUAUUUAAUUGAAUCAAACUAAUAAUUGUUAUAAAAGAUUAGCAGUUAUUAAUUG